AUUGAACGCUGGCGGCAUGCCUUACACAUGCAAGUCGAACGGUAACGCGGGGCAACCUGGCGACGAGUGGCGAACGGGUGAGUAAUGCAUCGGAACGUGCCCAUCAGUGGGGGAUAGCCCGGCGAAAGCCGGAUUAAUACCGCAUACGACCUGAGGGUGAAAGCGGGGGACCGUAAGGCCUCGCGCUGAUGGAGCGGCCGAUGUCGGAUUAGCUAGUUGGUGGGGUAAAGGCUUACCAAGGCAACGAUCCGUAGCUGGUCUGAGAGGACGACCAGCCACACUGGGACUGAGACACAGCCCAGACUCCUACGGGAGGCAGCAGUGGGGAAUUUUGGACAAUGGGCGCAAGCCUGAUCCAGCAAUGCCGCGUGCAGGAAGAAGGCCUUCGGGUUGUAAACUGCUUUUGUACGGAACGAAAAGGCUCUGGUUAAUACCUGGGGCUCAUGACGGUACCGUAAGAAUAAGCACCGGCUAACUACGUGCCAGCCGCCGCAGUAAAAC
rnacentral:rRNA from 1 species